rnacentral:misc_RNA from 1 species
GAUGAAGAACGUAGUGAAAUGCGAUAAGUAGUGUGAAUUGCAGAAUUCAGUGAAUCAUCGAAUCUUUGAACGCACAUUGCGCCCUUUGGUAUUCCUUAGGGCAUGCCUGUUCGAGCGUCAUUUGAAACCUCAAGCUCAGCUUGGUGUUGGGUGUCUGUCCCCGCCUCCGCGGGGACUCGCCUCAAAAUCAUUGGCGGCCGGUACGUUGGCUUCGAGCGCAGCAGAAACGCGAACUCGAGGCCCGGCGGAUCGGCGACCAGAAGUCUCUUCUUCACAGUUUGACCUCGGAUCAGGUAGGGAUACCCGCUGAACUUAAGAAUAUCAAUAAGCGGAGGA